UGAAAUAAUAUAAAUUCCAAGAUUUCUCGGAAUUUAAAAUGGGUGGUCCAUUUUUCGGUGGUCGCCUAAAAUGCAAGACAAGCUCAUUUCUUGGGUUACGUGAUACUUUCAGUUACCUCGUGACACUUAGCAAGGAAUCUUCGGGCGUGUUUUGAAUUUUGCAAGAGAAGAAUUCCGAUUUAUCUCGUGCGAAAUAGAAAUUGAAUCA
rnacentral:rRNA from 1 species